UAAGAGCAUACUCUAUUUCCAUACUUGUAUUAAAGAGCUUUAGCUCGGAUGUAAAAAUAAGUACUUUCCACCCUCGUUCAGGAAAAAUUACUUCACUAAACUCGGAGAAAAAGUGAUUUUUCGGCUCUCGUUGUGUAAUAUACUAUUGUUCUCGUAAUAGCCGAAAACAAAUGGUUUUAAAUACACGUUUUCAAAACCGUUACAAUGAAAAGGUUCUAAAUGAUAUUGUUUCUCAGAUUGAACCUAUUUCUUUUGAUUUUUGUAAUUUGUUGGUAAGAAAAGUCAUUAUAAACACAUAAUUUCACGUAAUUUCACUGAUAAAUUGCAGAAAAUCAACCUCAUCACCUUAAGGAUAUCGUUCCUAUGUAUUUCUUAUGGGCUUUUGAUGAAAAAAGCUUGACUUUUAAGGUGAAAGUUCCUUUGUUGAAUUUUACUUUUUUCAAUUCAGAGUUCCUCAAAUAAAAAAAAAAAAAUGAAAAAGAAAAAUCAGUGCUACCAGGAUGUUUAUUUUGAAAAUUAACAGGAAAAUGAUUGCAAUAACCAAAUGUUCUCUUACCUCAUCUAAAACUAUCAAGUGUACUUGAUAGAAUGCUCUUUAAAAAUUAAAAUGCGUUUUCUGAGAAAUUAACUUUCAUGUAGUUACGACCUUUUCCUAAUAAAGCAACGAAGUAUAACCAAUGUAUUUGAUCCCCUCUAUACGUCACACAGUAGCCGGCGAUGGUAGCGAUCCUAGUGAGCGCGAAAGUGUCAAUCGACCUUGAAAAUUUUUGCUUGAUUAGUGACUCAUGCUCAGAGAUGGAAUCGAUUAUAAUCGAUGCUACAUCGAUGAUUUUCUUCAAAAUAAUCGGAAAUAAUCGAUUAAUCGACGGCGAUUAAUCGGUCGAUUAAAUCGACGGCCAAACACAGCAAAACAUGACGUCAUGCGGAACGAUCGGUACCUUGGCCCAUUGCAACUUAACCAUUGACCAAUGAAAAAGCCUGAAAUAUUAGUACAAUAUAGGUAGCGCCAAGAUUCGAUUAAUCGGCCGAUUAAUCGAUGCUGUCCGAUUAUUUUAAUCGGCCGAUUAUAAUCGGCUAUAAUCGAUUAUAAUCGGUAAUCGUUCCAUCUCUGCUCAUGCUUGGCCACUGGCCAAUGUUUAUUUAAUCAGUUGUCAGUUCAGUUAUCACAUAGUUAUCACUACUUCUUUACUUCUUUAACUAGGCUUUAACUUCUUUUGAUACCUUCAAUCUUCAUUACAUACUUCAGUAAUAUGUUAAAUGUUUCCUUUCCUCAGGAUUUUCUUUCCAAAGACAAGAAAUUUGUUUGUAUUUCGCAGUUUUCUUUCUGAGAAAUCAACUUGAAAACCACGUGUCAUAGUGUAUACAUUUGUUUAUACAUAUUUCAUGUCGUAUAACUAAUAUACGUUUCUACAGUGUUCGGGAGAAAUGGAAACCUCAUACAGUACUACGUCGGAAUUGUACUUCUGCGGUGGGGUGUCUACAUUACUAGAUCUUACCAUACGCUCGAUCAUUCAAAAGUCGUGGCGUGAUGCGAUCAUUCAAAGACGUCAAUGUGCGAAAUUGGAUGGGUCUUUCAAAGGGAUGUAUGCACACAUCACGAUUGAUUCAAAGUUUCGAAACGUAAUGAUAUCUUGGAAUAAAACUGAGAUUAAUAGACAGUUAGUGAACUCCUCAACCUCAACAUCUUUAAAUGAGAAAAUCCGAAUGAGAAUGGAGCAGUACGCUGGUAAACUUAGUGAUGAAUUUCGCGUCUGGAAAUACCAUUGUGAUACCGUAAUACGGUAUGGCUUUGUAGGCUUUAUGAAAUGCUACAAUGUUGACAUUUUCAAUUAUUUAGAUGAUUUCAUAUAUGACUCGUAUGGAAGCAUCAACUGCACUGAAAUGGCCAAGAAAAUGUUGACGUGCGAUAAAUUAGAAGAAGAACUGAAAUUCGCUUUCGCUUGUGAAUUUUGUUUCGAGGAUGAAAUCAAAGAGUUAUGGCCUUCAGUAGCAACGAAAGCACAGAUCAACGGUUUAAACAUGAAAGUGAAUUUUUCAUUGUUAUGGUAUUGGAUUGCUGUAUCAACUAAUCAGCUGCUUCAUGCAAUACCUAUUCAUUUUGGUAGUAUUCCUCGUACAAUGUUUGUUAGAUUUUCACACACGAAAUCAGCGAAGGAGUUCUUCUGGAAACAUAUCACCACAUUCGAUCACCAAGUGCAUUGCAUUGGUGAAUGUUUUCAUAAUUAUGUAAAUCCGGUCGGAAGAAUAGUAUUGUUAAGGUACUGGCUUCCAAGAAUGAGCGAUGAAUUCCUCAAGUCCCUUAUAUCGCUACAUGGUACACAUAUGAUAGCGAGCAUGUUUACAACAAUUCUUUGUCGCGAAUUCGCUUUGCCAUUUUGGCAGCGGACAUGCAACAUGUACAAUAGCGAUCAAUUUGCUACGUUAUUUGUAAAAUUUAGUGAUACAAAAGAUACGCGUAUCAAAUCUUUGUGCGGACAAAUUUGGAAUAUCGCUUCGAUUGAAUUCAAAAAUCAUGCUUUGAAUUGUAUUAUUGCAGCUGAAAUUGAAACUAAGUGAAUGGCCGAUGAACGAGCGUUGAGAGAACUUCAAGAAUUCUUAAGGAAGAUUAAUUCUAUUUGAAAUGUGGUAAACUAUUUUAUCGAUGUAGGUACCUUUUAAGUAAGGUACUGAUAUGAUAUUACAAAUUAGAUUUUUGUGCUCCAUAAAAUUAAAUCCACCGAUGUACCUACUAGUUGUUAUACAUAUUUUUUAAUAUUUCUUAAACUUUGAUAUUUUAAGAAUGGCUGAAUUUUGUCAAUAUUUCUCAUCAUUUUAGAAAAAUUAAAUAUUAUGAUCGAUGAAA